AGCAGUCGCCACGGUAAUACGUAGGGUGCAAGCGUUAAUCGGAAUUAUUGGGCGUAAAGCGUGCGCAGGCGGUCCGCUAAGACAGAUGUGAAAUCCCCGGGCUUAACCUGGGAACUGCAUUUGUGACUGGCGGGCUAGAGUAUGGCAGAGGGGGGUAGAAUUCCACGUGUAGCAGUGAAAUGCGUAGAGAUGUGGAGGAAUACCGAUGGCGAAGGCAGCCCCCUGGGCCAAUACUGACGCUCAUGCACGAAGCGUGGGGAGCAAACAGGAUUAGAUACCCCCGUAGUCCCUGUCUCUUAUACC
rnacentral:rRNA from 1 species